rnacentral:rRNA from 1 species
UACGUAGGGUGCGAGCGUUGUCCGGAAUUAUUGGGCGUAAAGAGCUCGUAGGCGGUUUGUUACGUCUGCUGUGAAAACUGGGGGCUUAACCCCCAGCUUGCAGUGGAUACGGGCAGACUAGAGGUAGGUAGGGGAGAAUGGAAUUCCCGGUGUAGCGGUGAAAUGCGCAGAUAUCGGGAGGAACACCGGUGGCGAAGGCGGUUCUCUGGGCCUUACCUGACGCUGAGGAGCGAAAGCGUGGGGAGCGAACAGG